AGUGAACGCUGGCGGUAGGCCUAACACAUGCAAGUCGAACGGCAGCACAGUAAGAGCUUGCUCUUACGGGUGGCGAGUGGCGGACGGGUGAGGAAUACAUCGGAAUCUACUUUUUCGUGGGGGAUAACGUAGGGAAACUUACGGUAAUACCGCAUACGACCUACGGGUGAAAGCAGGGGAUCUUCGGACCUUGCGCGAUUGAAUGAGCCGAUGUCGGAUUAGCUAGUUGGCGGGGUAAAGGCCCACCAAGGCGACGAUCCGUAGCUGGUCUGAGAGGAUGAUCAGCCACACUGGAACUGAGACACGGUCCAGACUCCUACGGGAGGCAGCAGUGGGGAAUAUUGGACAAUGGGCGCAAGCCUGAUCCAGCCAUACCGCGUGGGUGAAGAAGGCCUUCGGGUUGUAAAGCCCUUUUGUUGGGAAAGAAAAGCAGCAGGUUAAUACCCCGCUGUUCUGACGGUACCCAAAGAAUAAGCACCGGCUAACUUCGUG
rnacentral:rRNA from 1 species